CUAGUUGGCUAUAUAAAUAUGUUGGUUUGACAACCUUCCUUAGCGUUUAGCUUGGAUUCAUACUCUUCAAGAGUCCACUUUGCGGUAUCUAGUUCACAUUGUUUUCUAAUUAAACUGGCUUGAACUGAUUGCUUUAUAAGCUUAAGAUCAUGGUUGAAGCGAUCAUACAACAGAGGGAUAGACUUUUUAGAAUCUUCAUUUAAUCGAGUCAUUUGAGCCAACCUUGCAAGAGUCAGAUGAUAUUUGCGUCGUAAAUCCUCGUAUGCCUCUCGUUCUAUUUGACCAGGUAAAAUUUCCUUAGGGUGUCUUUCCGGCAUUUCUUUCAUGGCAAUUGCUUGGAAUUUCGAUUCAUCUAACUGUUUAUCAUUAUUGGAAUUCGCAGGGGAAACCGGAGUCGGCAAUUCCUCUACUGUUCCAAAAAUGCGAUCACUGUGGUAUGCAAGGUAAUAAACAAGUUCUACAGCAUUACUUCCAAACAUGGAAGGAGCCAAGGCAAUUGCUAGUUGUUUCGUAACAAAAUCACAUUGAUCUUUAAGAGGAAGUCUCAAAAGCAAACUACGACGUUAGAUAAUAAAACCUCUGAAAAACAAGCUUGGUGACUUACUCGGAAGCAAUAGAAAAAAUGUUCUCAAGGAUCUUUAGGCUACUCUCG